GGACAGGAAUGGUACUUUUAAAGAAAAGUUUAAUGAUUAUAGUUGCUAUGACUGCCACAGCUUGCGAACUGUCAAAAGAUGGAAUAUGUUCUAGCAAAUGAGGCUUAAACAGUGUAAUACAACAUUAAAAUGUUGACUUGAAGAGCCAAAUACACCUUUUAAAGCAAAACACUUCUGGAGUACACAUGUAAAGCUAUAAAACUUGAAUACUGAAGACUGAGAACUCCAGUUUGUCUGAGGUAGUUCCUGUUUUUAUAAAAAUACAGUUUAAUCUUACUUUGUGCUUUUUCUUCAAGUCCUAAAGUGUAUUCAGUUCAACUGCUUCUAGAGUAGAUGCACAGAUAGCUCUUCCCUCCAGUGACAGAGCAGAGCAUGAAAGGGCUUUUCGUGACUGGAGGUUGAGCACAGUAAGAAUAAAAAUGGAGCCAUUCAAGCCAGGAAUGUUGAACUGCUUAACCACAUACAAAUAGUGACAACAGCAUAAAGCUGCAGAACAUACCCAGGCCUAACAUGCAGAAGAUGGAGAGCAGCUGGUAAGCUAAACUGACUGCAGAGAACAGCUGCUCAGUAAGAAGAACUGCCAAAAGGAGACAUGGGGCUCCUAGGAAGAGGUAGUAGGUUGCAUAGUUUUAGGGCAGGGAUUUUGCUCGCAAGGAGGUAACUAUACAACCUGCUGCCUUUCUUAGGGCUUUAUUAUAACAACAGGACCAUUGGCUCUGUCUUAACUUCAGCAGCUUUAACACGUGAAGAGAAAGGACAAACUAUUCCUAAGCAUAUUGAGGCUUAUUGAAGCUGGUGUAUGAGAAGGCAUGGUGCUAAACUUGAGUUUAAUAAUGCUAGUUGAAGAUCAGCAUGGUAAAGUGCUGCAUUUGAGGGUGUACUUGCCAUUUUGGUGACAUUAGUGCGAUACCCUGCAGGAGAGAGGCUAUGCUUGGAAUGUAACUCCUUCAAAACCAAGAUUUAAGUUCUCUAUUGCAUUAUGCAUAUCUAAAAGUUCUAUCAAUACAACAUACCUACCAACAAGUAACUAAAAUACAUAUUCCUUUUGGCUUUGCAUGUCCAACAAAGACUAGUUCUGUUUUUCCCCAAACAAUCAGCUUGACAAUUCGUCUGUAAGCUGGUGGUUUCUCUACAUAUAAGCACUCCUAGUAAAAAGUAGCUCUCGGUCACUCAUUAAAUGAAUGAUUGCUUGGUACCCUCUGUCAUGGGCUUGCAGGUUAAGCAAGUAGUCCAUAAUUUGUUCUUUUAGGGCUUGAUCCCAAUACCUUACACCACGGGAUACAGAGACUUAAUUUAAUGCCAAAGCCUGUUACAGCAUUGAAAUCUUCUGUCUAUGCUAGCCAACACACUGACA